AGUCCCCUGUUGUGUGUUGCAGGCAAUGGGGUGGUCGUCCACUUACCCGGCUUGUUUGAAGAGGCAGAAAAGAAUGAGAAGAAAGGUCUGAAGGACUGGGAGAAGAGGCUCAUCAUCUCUGACCGCGCCCACCUGGUGUUCGACUUUCAUCAGGCGGUCGACGGGCUGCAGGAAGUGCAACGCCAAGCCCAGGAGGGGAAGAAGU